GGUGAGGCCGGAAGGCGUAGCCGAUGCACAGACGGUAGAGAUUCCGUCACCACCAAAAGAGUUAAGCACAGGGACACAUUUGAAGUCUCAGAGCCGGGUGUUGGUUCCGGUAGAGAUCGAGGGAAGUUAGUACCGAAGUCUGAGAUGGAAGAUGGCGAGAAAAGCUGUGUGUAUUUCUGAGGUGCCCGUACCGCAAACCGACACAGGUAGGUAGGAAGAAGAUUCUAAGGCCAACGGGAGAAGGGUUGUUAAGGAACUCGGCAAAUUGACCCCGUAACUUCGGGAGAAGGGGUGCUCCAGAGAUGGAGCCGCAGAGAAUCGGCCCAAGCAACUGUUUACCAAAAACACAGGUUUGUGCUAAAUCGAAAGAUGACGUAUACGAGCUGACGCCUGCCCGGUGCUGGAAGGUUAAGAGGAGAUGUGCAAGCAUUGAAUCGAAGCCCCAGUGAACGGCGGCCGUAACUAUAACGGUCCUAAGGUAGCGAAAUUCCUUGUCAGGUAAGUUCUGACCCGCAUGAAAGGCGUAAUGAUUUGGGCACUGUCUCAACAGCCCGCCCGGCGAAAUUGUAGUACCGGUGAAGAUGCCGGUUACCCGCGACAAGACGGAAAGACCCCAUGGAGCUUUACUGUAGCCUAAUAUUGGGUUUCGAUGUUGCAUGCACAGGAUAGAUGGGACACAGGGAAACAAUCGCUUUGGCGGUUGCGGAGUGGCCGUUGGGAUACCAUCCUUGCGAUAUUGGAAUUCUAACCUGCGGCUCUGAAUC
rnacentral:rRNA from 1 species